rnacentral:lncRNA from 1 species
UGGAUCAAAAAGUACAGUGUAAAUUUCUUUGUGAUAAGCAAUGGAGGAAUUCUCCGGUACUGGAAUAAUGGCGGAAGCGGGACGGAUUCUCGGUGAUCGAAACCGAGGCGAUGAUACCAUGUUAAGAUUUCCAUGGUUUGGAGAAAAUGGAGAAAACUUUAGAAAGUCUUCAAGAUAGUAAAAAUCAUAAGGAUUCAUAUUUGAUAAAAGAUGAUGAAAAUGAUACAAUAGUGGCUCUUAUAUAGAGCAAUUUAGGGGUUAACUAACUAACCACCUAAUAACAAACUCUAACAAACUAAUAUAAACUCUAACUAACUAAUAUAAGCUACUAGCUAAUCACCAUUAUUCUUAACAU